rnacentral:rRNA from 1 species
GACGAACGCUGGCGGCGUGCCUAAUACAUGCAAGUAGAACGCACAGUUUAUACCGUAGCUUGCUACACCAUAGACUGUGAGUUGCGAACGGGUGAGUAACGCGUAGGUAACCUGCCUGGUAGCGGGGGAUAACUAUUGGAAACGAUAGCUAAUACCGCAUAAUAUUGAUUAUUGCAUGAUAAUUGAUUGAAAGAUGCUAUUGCAUCACUACCAGAUGGACCUGCGUUGUAUUAGCUAGUAGGUGAGGUAACGGCUCACCUAGGCGACGAUACAUAGCCGACCUGAGAGGGUGAUCGGCCACACUGGGACUGGGACCCGGCCCAGACUCCUACGGGAGGCAGCAGUAGGGAAUCUUCGGCAAUGGACGAAAGUCUGACCGAGCAACGCCGCGUGAGUGAAGAAGGUUUUCGGAUCGUAAAGCUCUGUUGUAAGAGAAGAACGGGUGUGAGAGUGGAAAGUUCACACUGUGACGGUAUCUGACCAGAAAGGGACGGCUAACUACGUG